ACUAACAAGGAUUCCCUCAGUAACUGCGAGUGAAGCGGGAUGAGCUCACACUUAAAAUCUAUCCUUUAUUGGAUCGAAUUGUAGUCUAUAGAGGAUGACACCAGUGAUAAUUACAAGCAAAGUCUUCCUGGAAAGGAGCUGCCAUUGAAGGUGAAAGCCCUGUUCAAUACUUGUAUUUAUAUCACGUACGGUGCGUUUUCGAAGAGUCGGUUUGCUUGGGAGUGCAGGCCAAAGUGGGAGGUAAAAUCCUUCUAAAGCUAAAUAUUGAUCAGACACCGAUAGCGAACAAGUACCGUGA
rnacentral:rRNA from 1 species